CUCCAGCUCCAGGCGGACCACGGUCUGGCGGAGAGAGUUCCGGUCUUGGCAGAUCACACACAGGGUGGCGCCUUGAAAGGACAGUGACAGAGGCAAGGAGAGAAAGGGUCAUCCCUGGAGGCCUGGCAGAGGUGUGCAACCUUUUCACAUUGAGACAUCACAUCGCUGACAUUUACAAGGCUCCUGCUUUCGGGUUUGAUACCUGGGCAACCUGGGUUUGGCCAGAGCACCUGCCUGUGAGUGCCACUUACACUCACCUUGGAUGUGAUGUGGAAGGACCUGUGCCCACC